rfam:Trichobilharzia regenti genome assembly, scaffold: TRE_scaffold0000505
AUCCAGCUUACGAGUCCUAAAUAGGACGAAAUGCGAAUCCCGGAU